GAGUGACCUAUCAGCUUGUACUUAGGGUCUUUACCUAGGUAGGCUAUCACGGGUAACGGGCGGUUACCGUCUGACUGCCGGAGAAGGCGCCUGAGAGAUAGCGACUAUAUCCACGGGUAGCAGCAGGCGCGAAACUUUCCCACUCGAGACUUUCGGAGGAGGUAAUGACCAGUUCCAUUGGUGCCUUUUGGUACUGUGGAUAGGGGUACGGUUUUCCACCGUACCCGAAACCUAGCAGAGGGCCAGUCUGGUGCCAGCAGCUGCGGUAAUUCCAGCUCUGCGAGUUUGCUCCCAUAUUGUUGCAGUUAAAACGCCCGUAGUCUGAAUUGGCCAGCAAUGGUCGUACGUAUUUUUACGUUCACUGUGAACAAAUCAGGACGCUUAGAGUAUGGCCACAUGAAUGACUCAGCGCAGUAUGAAGUCUUUGUUUUCUUCCGAAAACAAGCUCAAUGAGAGCCAUCGGGGGUAGAUCUAUCUCAUGACGAGUGGUGGAAUACUUUGACUCAUGAGAGAGAAGCUGAGGCGAAGGCGUCUACCUAGAGGGUUUCUGUCGAUCAAGGGCGAGAGUAGGAGUAUCCAACAGGAUUAGAGACCCUGGUAGUUCCUACCUUAAACGAUGCCGACAGGAGUUUGUCAUUUGUUAAUGGCAGAAUCUUUGGAGAAAUCAUAGUUCUUGGGCUCUGGGGGAACUACGACCGCAAGGCUGAAACUUGAAGGAAUUGACGGAAGGGCACACCAGGGGUGGAGCCUGUGGCUUAAUUUGAAUCAACACGGGGAAACUUACCAGGACCAGAUGUUUUUUAUGACUGACAGGCUUCGGGUCUUUCAGGAUAUUGUUUUUGGUGGUGCAUGGCCGUUGGUGGUGCGUGGGUUGACCUGUCUAGCGUUGAUUCAGCUAACGAGCGAGAUUAUCGCCAAUUAUUUACUUUGCCGAAGUCCUUCGGUUAAAGUUCUAAUUGGGACUCCCUCUGCGAUUUUAGCUAGGUGGAAGAGGGUAGCUAAUA
rnacentral:ncRNA from 2 species